rnacentral:lncRNA from 1 species
GAAGACGAUCAGAUACCGUCGUUGUUCCGACCAUAAACGAUGCCAACUGGUGAUGCAGCGGUGUUAUUUCCAUGACCCGCUGGGCAGCUUCCCAGAAACCAAAGUCUUUGGGUUUUUGGGUUGCGAGUAAAGCUGAAACUUAAAGGAAUUGGUGGAAGGGCACCACCAGGAGUGGAGCCUGCAGCUUAAUUUGACUCAAUAUGGGAAACCUCACCCGGCCCGGACAUGGACAGGAUUGACAGAUUGAUAGGUCUUUCUUGAUUCCAUGGGUGGUGGUGCAUGGCCUUAGUUGGUGGAGUGAUUUGUCUGGUUAAUUCCGAUAAUGAAGGAGACUCUGGCAUGCUAACUAGUUACGCGACCCCCAAGCGGUCAGCAUCCCCCAACUUCUUAGAGGGAUAAGUGGCAUUUAGCCACCCGAGAUUGAGAAAUAACACGUCUGUGAUGCCCUUAGAUGUCUGGGGCUGCACGCACGCUACAGUGACUGGCUCAGCGUGUGCCUACCCUACGUGGCAGACGCGGGUAACCUGUUGAACACCAUUGGUGAUGGUGAUCGGGGAUUGCAAUUAUUCCCCAUGAAUGACGAAUUCCCAGUAAGUGUGGGUCAUAGGCUUGCGUGAAGUCCCUACCCUUUGUACACACUGCCAGUCGCUACUACUGAUUGGAUGGUUUAGUGAGGCCCUUGGAUCGGCCCCGCCGGGUCAGCCCACUGCCCUGGUGGAGCACUGAGAAGACAGUCGAACUUGACUAUCUAGAGGAAGUAAAAGUCAUAACAAAAUUUCCAUAGUUGAACCUGUCGAGGGAUCAUUAACGGAG